rnacentral:lncRNA from 1 species
AAAGUUCAUAUAUAUAAAAAAUUUAUAAAAAUUUGAAAAAGAUUCAUGUUUAUUUUUACAGUUUUAAUGAGAAAUUUACACUGUUAUGGUUAAUUUUUAUGUGAACCAAAUCUUCCCAUUCUCCGAUGCCUUUUCCCUUAAAUCCCCACUUUAAGGGGAUAGGUGAAAUUAUCAAAUUAAGUGAAGUUAUAUGUUAGAAAGCUGCACAUGGCUUUUGGACUGUAAGUAUUGUAUUUCAGGUCUAUUACUGCAUUCCAUUACAUUUCAUAACUUGUUAGGGAGAAUGUGUUUGAUAAAAUAAAAUUUUCAAACAACUAAGAAAUGAUUGAUUUGAGUGACUGACAAUUUGAGUCACAUAUAAAAUAUGCAAGUAAGGUUGAGUUCUUAAUGUCCCCUAUAAUGGGCUGUAAAGGCAAUGAGUAUCUUGUAACUUUAGGUUAAUUGUACACAGUGAGAAGACUUUAAAUAUCUUAGAUGUAAGAUUUUCCUGUUUGUUACUCUUUUGGGGGAGUGGUGCUGGGGAUCGAACUCAGGACCUUGCGCUUGCCAGGAAGGUGUGGUGCCACUGAGCUACAUCCCGGCCCUGUUACUCUUUUAUGAUUAAAAAUCCCAAAAUUUUGCCAUCUUAUUUUUUAGCUACAUGAGCUUUACAAUUUCACUUGAUCAUUUAGUUCCUACCUAAAAGGCUUUGACUUUAACUAGCUUCUCUUAACUGGCAUUUUGAAAAUUUGACAGUAGUUAUAUUUAUUCAUGCUUUACAUUUUUAAUCCCUUUUUAUGUGCCCACACACACAGUUGUUCUCGUGAAGGUUUGGAGGAAAGGCAAUAGUACCUUUUUUCCUUUUCUUUUGAUUUCUUAGUUUCCAAAUGACUGACACUAAUCAUUUAGUCAUCUGUAAGCUGUGGAACUUAUUCUCGACAAUGAGAAAUUUUAAGUUAUCUGUUCCAUAAUUAAGUGAAAGUAACCUGUUUUGGAAAAAGAUAGCCUUUUGAUUCUUGUUUCAUAAUCAUUACAUGCAUAUUUAUGGUUUACAAAGACUCGGUAGAGAAAGGUCAAGUCCGGAAAGCAUCUCCAUGCCAGUGCUUUACAGUACUGUGCUGUGUAUCAGCUCAGGUGUCCACGGAACAGGAAUGUAGAAAGCUAGCCCUUAACUUUAAUCGCACUUUUAUGCUUCAUUUUUCUUCCUAUCAAAUCUUUUGCACUACAUAUAAAAUAAAAUUAUUACUUGAUUUCCCUUCUUUUGGAUCUGUAAUAUUUUCAAAAGCAGCUAGUUAGCACCUGUAUGCUAAUAUUACUUAAUGUAUUUCUGCAUAUUUCAUUUUUAAAAAAUCUUCUGCCUUGUUGAGACAGUGGAAUAUUUCUUGAUGGAUGUAAGGACCAAAGGAGCCAUUUUUCCAGUUAAGCAAGUAUUAUGGCAAAGGACCAAAUGAUUAAAAGGGUGCAUUUAUUUAGCUUCUCCGUGUGAAGUAUCGCCUUGGUGGGUUCAGUACUGCCUGUAUUACCAUUCAUCUUCAUACUGGGCGAAGCAAACUAGAAGAGAACGCAUCACAUUUUCCCCUUAUCCGAAGAGAAAAAAAUGAUAAAAUGAAUGAUCAUCUGAAUUUUAAUUUUCAGUAAGUAGCUGAAAAAUCUUGUCUGUUGGACAUAUGAGGCUACUGCCUAGUUAAAAUACCUAACAUUCCGUGAAUGCCAGUAAAAAAGAAGUAGUCUGGCAAUAAUUUCAAAAUUUUCCUAAGUUCUGAUUUUCAAUUACAAAGAAAAAGUGGGUAGAAUGUGGCUGUUCAAGGAAUUCUUACACUCCCCCUUCAAUCUGGCAGGCAAUAAACAGAGUUCUAGAAUUCAGGCUUCCUUUUUGGUUUCAUUACUAUUAAAUACUAUUAAAUACUUUCAUAUGAAUGGUAACAUUUUUCCUCAAAAUAUUAAUUCAAAACAUACUCCUUAUAUUAAGGAUUAUGUAAUGAAAUUUUUGUAAAUUUCCUGUGUGUAACAUUUUCCUGUUGGUAUGUGAUCCUUUUCAUCUAAUUUGAUUAUCUGCUGGUGUUGGGGCCAAUAGAUUUGUGAAUAUUCUGUGGAUGUGUACAUGUGUAAGUGUAUAUAUGCAUUUUUUUUCCAGCUAAUACCUCAGAUACGUGAUUGUUUAAUAUAUACCACAGUAUGUUUGCACAGAACAGGGCUUCCAUUAGUAAUGGGUAUCCUUAUUUCCAAAUUUGAAAAUCAGUCCACAGAAUUUCAUUAGUGUGAAUUCUCUCUGUUGAUUUUAAUAGAGAUUUCUUUUUUAAGGCCCACACUUCAAAAAUAACUUUAUCUUUCUAGCAAUCUGGAACUACAUUAGGGUAAGAAGUGUUUCUUGGAAUGUCUUAGUUCAUGAGUGUCUGAGAAUGACCAGCUGUGGAGAUAUUGAGUCACUGAGGAACAGAUGAUUCCUGGCAGGAGGUGGGCAGUUUUUAUCCACGUGUCUGUGAGAUUCUGCCCAUUCUAGUCAGCCUGCCACUCAUGAGCACUGUGCAAACAGUGACACUGAGGUAUUCCAGCCAUUACUUUUGGAGAAUUGUUUCUGAGUUGAAUGACUAUAAGGAUUAGAAGAAAAAAAUAUUUUGUAAUUCAUUUGCAUUAAGAAAUGCUUCUUACCUUUUUCUGUCUUUUUGGUUUUUAAAUUGCUUCGUAAGACUUUCUGUCCAUUUAAAGGUUAGUUUUAGUUUAUGUGUUUUUAAAAGCUACAGGAAAUUUUCACGGCGUGAUGGAAUUUUAAUGGAAGCCUUAUAUAAGCUAAAUGAAGUGAAAUGUAAAGGAGAUCUUACUUUGUCUAUAGUGCAUUCAAGAUUAUAUAAUUAGGUUUAAAAAUGCAAUGUCUGAUUUGUAAACUAAUGUUAUAUCAGACUUCUAUAAAAUAAAAUUUCCUGUGUGAGAACAUUUUUAAUGAAUGUUCUACUGAAUGAUUUAUGAUGAAUUUUUGUCUUUAA